AUUGAACGCUGGCGGCAUGCCUUACACAUGCAAGUCGAACGGCAGCACGGGAGCUUGUUCCUGGUGGCGAGUGGCGAACGGGUGAGUAAUACAUCGGAACGUACCCUGAAGUGGGGGAUAACGUAGCGAAAGUUACGCUAAUACCGCAUAUUCUGUGAGCAGGAAAGAGGGGGAUCGCAAGACCUCUUGCUUUAGGAGCGGCCGAUGUCGGAUUAGCUAGUUGGUGAGGUAAAGGCUCACCAAGGCGACGAUCCGUAGCGGGUCUGAGAGGAUGAUCCGCCACACUGGGACUGAGACACGGCCCAGACUCCUACGGGAGGCAGCAGUGGGGAAUUUUGGACAAUGGGCGCAAGCCUGAUCCAGCCAUGCCGCGUGAGUGAAGAAGGCC
rnacentral:rRNA from 1 species